rnacentral:rRNA from 1 species
AUGCCUUACUGCGAGGUGGAUCGGUACCAGGCCGGCGACAAGUGGGAGGGCGUCCGCCUCUUCUACCGCCGCUACGGCCGCGGCGCCACCAAGGUGCUCCUCGUCAUCGGUUUGGCGGGGACGCACGACUCGUGGGGCCCGCAGAUACGGGGGCUGACCGGGUCCAUGGAGCCGGCCGACGGCGGCGACGAGCUCACCGCCGCGCGGACGGACGAGGAGGCCGGCGCCCCCGCCGCCGCGCCGGCGACGGCGACGGUGGAGGAGGAGGACGUCGGCGAGGGCAUCGAGGUCUGCUGCUUCGACAACCGCGGCGUCGGCCGCAGCUCCAUCCCCCCGCACAAAUCCUACUACUCGACAUCGAUCAUGGCGAGGGACGCGCUGGCCUUGAUGGACCAUCUGGGGUGGAAGAAAGCCCACGUCUUCGGCCACUCCAUGGGCGCGAUGAUUUCCUGCAAGCUUGCAGCGAUGGCGCCUCACCGGAUGUCCUCGCUGGCGUUGCUCAACGUCACCGGCGGUGGGAUGGAGUGUUUCCCCAAGGUAGAUGCACAGAUGCUAUCUCUCGCAUUCCGGUUCUUAAGGGCGAGAACUCCGGAGCAAAGAGCUCUUGUGGACUUGGAAACCCACUAUACCAAGGAAUACCUUGAUGAGGAAGUUGGAUCCUGCACAAGGAGAGCAAUCCUGUACAAGGAAUAUGUGAAGGGCAUAUCAUCUUCAGGGAUGCAAUCUAAUUGCGGGUUUGAAGGUCAAAUUAACGCAUGCUGGACUCACAAAGUGACAACUAAAGAACUGGAUACAAUACGUGCUGCUGGUUUUCUAGUUUCAGUUAUUCAUGGAAGGCAUGAUAUUAUUGCGCAAGUAUGCCAUGCGAGAUGGCUUGCACAAAGGCUUCUUCCUGCUGCUAGAAUGGUGGAUCUUCAUGGUGCACAUCUAGUCAGCCAUGAAAGACCAGAAGAGGUCAACAACGCCCUAAUGGAUCUGAUAAAGGCCACAAAGUAUGCGAUGGCACCUCAAGAGUGGUCGUCCCAGCCGGAGAACACAUCAGAAACCGGGGCCCUUAUUUCUGCGAGGCCUGUAACCCUCACGAUACGAACAGGCGAAGCUGGCAACGCUGCCGUAGCAGCGUAUAACCUACUUGCAAAGUUGCAACUAAGCUUUCUUUAUGUCAUAGGCCUGAUAGUGAUGGCGUUUGAGCAUGUGAGGAACAUUGUAAGAGUAACGAAGCCCGUGAGGGUCGUGGCGAUCCAGUCAUCAUAA